CAAGAGCGUAUAUUAAAGUUGCUGCGGUUAAAAAGCUCGUAGUUGGAUUUCAGUCUAGGAAGGUUAACUCGCCGAAAGGUUGUACGUUGAUUUUCCUCAGACUUCGUCAGAAGCUCGUGCUGCACUUAGCUGUGUGGUACGAUGUUCUGACCUUUUACCUUGAGGAAAGUAGAGUGUUUCAGGCAGGCUACCCAGCUUGAAUACAUUAGCAUGGAAUAAUGAAAUGGAUCUCGGUUCGAUUUCGUUGGUUCUAGAGCUGAGGUGAUGAUCAAUAGGAACAGGCGAAGGUAUUCGUACUUGAGAGUGAGGAGUGAAAUCCGAUGAUCUCUUAAAGACGAUCCGAGGCGAAAGCAUUUGUCAAGGAUGUUUUCAUUGA
rnacentral:rRNA from 1 species